rnacentral:rRNA from 1 species
GACGAACGCUGGCGGCGUGCUUAACACAUGCAAGUCGAGCGGUAAGGCCCUUUCGGGGGUACACGAGCGGCGAACGGGUGAGUAACACGUGGGUGACCUGCCCUCAGCUCUGGGAUAACGCCCGGGAAACUGGGUCUAAUACCGGAUAUGACUCCAUGACGCAUGUUGUGGGGUGGAAAGCCUUGUGCGGCUGAGGAUGGGCCCGCGGCCUAUCAGCUU